rnacentral:lncRNA from 1 species
CACCCAUAAACUCAGAAAAUACAGUGUAAAACAAAGUGAAGAACAAAUAAACAACUCACCAGAGAUUUAUUCGUUUCUUGUUGCUCUUGGAAACACCCAGAGGACACUGGAAACAUAGCUGGAAGAGAAGGCAAAUGACGUCGAUUAAGGAGAGAACUGGUGAGGUGUGGUCCCAGAUUCUUCUGCCCAACACUCUAGACACAUUACCUGGAAAAGCCCUCCUCCCUCCGGAAAAAGAAAAACUUCCCCAUGGGAGAAGAGUCCUUCACACCUCAUUAGUGGCAGCAAAGACUCAAGUUAAGAUAAGAUACAUCUACAAGUACAUUAAUUGGUAGACAUUAGAUGCACAAUUUAUUUUUGAAUAAAAAUAUGUAUUACCUACUAAUUUAGUAACAAUAUUACCUAAAGAUAUAAUCUAAUAAUUUAAUACAAAGAAACAUUAUAAGUUCACUAAAAUAAAUGUUAUAGAAAUAUA